rnacentral:tRNA from 1 species
ACUAAUUUGGCAGAAAAAAUUGUAUCAAAUUUAGAAUUUGAAAAUGGGUUACCAAUUAGU